GUGAUGGUAGUUCAGUGGUUAGAAUUUCUGGCUGUGAACCAGAAGGUCGCGAGUUCAAGUCUCGUCCAUCACCCCA
rnacentral:tRNA from 2 species